UUUACCUACGGGACGCAGCAGUGGGGAAUAUUGCACAAUGGGGGAAACCCUGAAGCAGCAACGCCGCGUGAGUGAUGACGGCCUUCGGGAUGUAAAGCUCUGUCUUCAGGGACGAUAAUGACGGUACCUGAGGAGGAAGCCACGGCUAACUAGGUGCCAGCAGCGGCGGUAAUACGUAGGUGGCGAGCGUAGUCCGGAUUUAGUGGGCGUAAAGGGAGCGUAGGCGGACUU
rnacentral:rRNA from 1 species